GAUGAACGCUGGCGGCGUGCCUAAUACAUGCAAGUCGAGCGAAUGGAUUAAGAGCUUGCUCUUAUGAAGUUAGCGGCGGACGGGUGAGUAACACGUGGGUAACCUGCCCACAAGACUGGGAUAACUCCGGGAAACCGGGGCUAAUACCGGAUAACAUUUUGAACCGCAUGGUUCGAAAUUGAAAGGCGGCUUCGGCUGUCACUUAUGGAUGGACCCGCGUCGCAUUGGCUAGUUGGUGAGGUAACGGCUCACCAAGGCAACGAUGCGUAGCCGAACUGGGAGGGUGAUCGGCCAAACGUGGACUGAGACACCGCCCAGACUCCUACGGGAGGCAGCAGUAGGGAAUCUUCCGCAAUGGACGAAAGUCUGACGGAGCAAAGCCGCGUGAGUGAUGAAGGCUUUCGGGUCGUAAAACUCUGUUGUUAGGGAAGAACAAGUGCUAGUUGAAUAAGCUGGCACCUUGACGGUACCUAACCAGAAAGCCACGGCUAACUACGUGCCAGCAGCCGCCGUAA
rnacentral:rRNA from 1 species